UCUUCCGCCGCAACUCUCCCAGAUCCAAAAGGUUUUCUUUGCUUUUUGCCUAUCUCUGCCGCAUUUAAAAAAGGUUUUCGAUCUUCUCUUUUGGUGAACCGAUUGUAAAAGAUUUCAAUGGAAGCAAAAGGAAUCAGAUGUGGCCUCCCAGCAAAGAACGUGAUACCGAAAAUCAAACAAAUAGGUGAACAAGGUGAGGGAAGUCGCGCGGAUGAUGAUGUGAAGGAGAUAACAAGGCUAGAGUACAGAAAAUCUCUCGCUCACCUAGGCUACUUAAUACGCAUCAAGGAAGACGAAGAAGACAUUGAUCCACUGUAGUACAUGAGAAUUAUCUGAGACAUCCAAAACAAACGCCCAAAAGUAGAAGGAUCGUCACGAUCUGGAAACGCUACUUGAAGAUUGUACUGUUAGAAUUUAUUGUCUUUGUUAUUUUGUAAACUUUGUUAACUAUCCACAUGUAUGUUUAGACUUCGUCAACUUUUUAUA